UACAGAGGAUGCAAGCGUUAUCCGGAAUGAUUGGGCGUAAAGCGUCUGUAGGUGGCUUUUUAAGUCCGCCGUCAAAUCCCAGGGCUCAACUCUGGACAGGCGGUGGAAACUACCAAGCUGGAGUACGGUAGGGGCAGAGGGAAUUUCCGGUGGAGCGGUGAAAUGCGUAGAGAUCGGAAAGAACACCGGUGGCGAAGGCGGUCUGCUGGGCCAAGACUGACGCUGAGGCGCGACAGCGUGGGGAGCAAACAGG
rnacentral:rRNA from 1 species